rnacentral:rRNA from 1 species
CUACGGGAGGCAGCAGUGGGGAAUAUUGGACAAUGGGGGGAACCCUGAUCCAGCAAUGCCGCGUGUGUGAAGAAGGUCUUCGGAUUGUAAAGCACUUUCACUAGGGAAGAUGAUGACGGUACCUAGAGAAGAAGCCCCGGCUAACUUCGUGCCAGCAGCCGCGGUAAUACGAAGGGGGCUAGCGUUGCUCGGAAUGACUGGGCGUAAAGGGCGCGUAGGCUGUUUGUACAGUCAGAUGUGAAAUCCCCGGGCUUAACCUGGGAACUGCAUUUGAUACGUGCAGACUAGAGUCCGAGAGAGGGUUGUGGAAUUCCCAGUGUAGAGGUGAAAUUCGUAGAUAUUGGGAAGAACACCGGUUGCGAAGGCGGCAACCUGGCUCGGAACUGACGCUGAGGCGCGAAAGCGUGGGGAGCGAACAGGAUUAGAUACCCUGGUAGUCCACGCUGUAAACGAUGUGUGCUGGAUGUUGGGUGAUUUUAUCAUUCAGUGUCGGAGCUAACGCGUUAAGCACACCGCCUGGGGAGUACGGCCGCAAGGUUGAAACUCAAAGGAAUUGACGGGGGGCCGCACAAGCGGUG